rnacentral:rRNA from 1 species
ACGGCUCAGUAACACGUAGGUAACCUACCCUUCGGACGGGCACAACCCCGGGAAACUGGGGCUAAUUCCCGAUAGGUACCCCCUUCUGGAAUGUGGGGAUAUCCAAAGCUCCGGCGCCGAAGGAUGGGCCUGCGGCCGAUUAGGUUGUUGGCGGGGUAACAGCCCACCAAGCCGACGAUCGGUACGGGCAGUGAGAGCUGUAGCCCGGAGAUGGGGACUGAGACAAGGCCCCAGGCCCUACGGGGCGCAGCAGGCGCGAAACCUUCACAAUGCACGAAAGUGUGAUGAGGGUACUCCGAGUGCGCAUACAUUGUAUGUGCUUUUCUGCAGCGUAAAUAGUUGCAGGAAUAAGGGCUGGGCAAGACUGGUGCCAGCCGCCGCGGUAACACCGGCAGCCCUAGUGGUGGCCGCUUUUAUUGGGCCUAAAGCGUCCGUAGCCGGACAGGCGAGUCUUUAGGUAAAUCCUACGUCUUAAGCGUGGGAAUUCUAAAGAUACUACCUGUCUUGAGGCCGGGAGAGGCUGGAGGUACUCCUGGGGUAGGGGUAAAAUCCUAUAAUCCUGGGGGGGACCACCGAUGGCGAAGGCAUCCAGCUGGAACGGGCCUGACGGUGAGGGACGAAACCCAGGGGAGCGAGCCGGAUUAGAUACCCGGGUAGUCCUGGGCGUAAAUGAUGUGGGUUUGGUGUGAGCGCAUCGACGAGGUGCGCUUGUGCCGUAGGGAAGCCGUUAAGCCCACCGCCUGGGGAGUACGGUCGCAAGGCUGAAACUUAAAGGAAUUGGCGGGGGAGG